rnacentral:rRNA from 1 species
GUCCACGCCCUAAACGAUGUCGACUGGUUGUUGGGGUUGACACUCUCAGUAACGAAGCUAACGCGUGAAGUCGACCGCCUGGGGAGUACGGCCGCAAGGUUAAAACUCAAAGGAAUUGACGGGGACCCGCACAAGCGGUGGAUUAUGUGGAUUAAUUCUAUGCAACGCGAAAAACCUUACCUACCCUUGACAUGUCCGAGAGCCCGUAGAGAUAUGGGUGUGCCCGAAAGGGAAUCGGAACACAGGUGCUGCAUGGCUGUCGU